CAAAGGCAUGGUCCUGACCUUAUUAUCAGCUCUUACCCGACUUACACAUGCAAGUCUCCGCAAUCCCGUGAGUAUGCCCUCAAUCCCCUGCCCGGGGACGAGGAGCGGGCAUCAGGCACAAAUUUUAGCCCAAGACGCCUGGCCAAGCCACACCCCCAAGGGAAUUCAGCAGUGAUAAACAUUAAGCCAUAAGUGAAAACUUGACUCAGUCAAGGUAAAGAGGGCCGGUAAAACUCGUGCCAGCCACCGCGGUUAAACGAGAGGCCCUAGUUGAUAAAACCACGGCGUAAAGGGUGGUUAAGGAAAGCAAACAAAUUAAAGCCAAAUGGCCCUUUGGCCGUCAUACGCUUCUAGGUGUCCGAAGCCCAAUUAUACGAAAGUAGCUUUAUUAAAGCCCACC
rnacentral:rRNA from 1 species